GAAAUGCGAUAAGUAAUGCGAAUUGCAGAUUUCAGUGAAUCAUCGAAUCUUUGAACGCACAUUGCACCCGGCGGCCAUUCCGCCGGGUCUGCCUGUCCGAGCGUCGUUUCACCCCUCGAGUCCAAACACUCGGUGGACUCGAGGGGUGA
rnacentral:misc_RNA from 1 species